CCUACGGGAGGCAACAGUGAGGAAUAUUGGUCAAUGGACGAGAGUCUGAACCAGCCCAGUAGCGUGAAGGAUGACUGCCCUAUGGGUUGUAAACUUCUUUUAUAUGGGAAUAAAACAGGGUAUGCAUACCCUCUUGUAUGUACCAUAUGAAUAAGGAUCGGCUAACUACGUGCCAGCAGCCGCGGUAAUACGGAGGAUCCGAGCGUUAUCCGGAUUUAUUGGGUUUAAAGGGAGCGUAGGUGGAUUGUUAAGUCAGUUGUGAAAGUUUGCGGCUCAACCGUAAAAUUGCAGUUGAAACUGGCAGUCUUGAGUACAGUAGAGGUGGGCGGAAUUCGUGGUGUAGCGGUGAAAUGCUUAGAUAUCACGAAGAACUCCGAUUGCGAAGGCAGCUCACUGGACUGCAACUGACACUGAUGCUCGAAAGUGUGGGUAGCAAACAGGAUUAGAUACCCCGGUAGUC
rnacentral:rRNA from 1 species